UAUAGCAAUAUCACAAGGUCCCCUGGACUCUUAAAGACCUUCCUUCAGGGAACAGAACCAGUAAAGGGACAGAGAAAGAGACGUGAACACAACAUUAAGGAAUAGACAGGCCUAUCAUUGAAAGAGAUUUUAUCCAAAGCAAGCGACAGAGAGGAAUAGAAAAAGAUGGUAGAUAGAUCACGUGUGGUGCCCCAAUGGUUCAACAGACAAAGUGAUAGGUGAAGGGGUGAACCUUUUUUU